AACGAACGCUGGCGGCAGGCUUAACACAUGCAAGUCGAACGCCCCGCAAGGGGAGUGGCAGACGGGUGAGUAACGCGUGGGAACAUACCCUUUCCUGCGGAAUAGCUCUGGGAAACUGGAAUUAAUACCGCAUACGCCCUACGGGGGAAAGAUUUAUCGGGGAAGGAUUGGCCCGCGUUGGAUUAGCUAGUUGGUGGGGUAAAGGCUUAUCAAGGCGACGAUCCAUAGCUGGUCUGAGAGGAUGAUCAGCCACAUUGGGACUGAGACACGGCCCAAACUCCUACGGGGAGCAGCAGUGGGGAAUAUUGGACAAUGGGCGCAAGCCUGAUCCAGCCAUGCCGCAUGAGUGAUGAAGGCCUUAGGGUUGUAAAGCUCUUUCAACGAUGAAGAUAAUGACGGUAGUCGGAGAAGAAGCCCCGGCUAACUUCGUGCCAGCCGCCGCGGUAACAC
rnacentral:rRNA from 1 species